rnacentral:rRNA from 1 species
CAGCAGCCGCCGCGGUAAAACGGAGGGAGCUAGCGUUAUUCGGAAUUACUGGGCGUAAAGCGCACGUAGGCGGCUUUGUAAGUAAGAGGUGAAAGCCCGGAGCUCAACUCCGGAACUGCCUUUUAGACUGCAUCGCUUGAAUCCAGGAGAGGUGAGUGGAAUUCCGAGUGUAGAGGUGAAAUUCGUAGAUAUCAAGAGGAACACCGGUGGCGAAGGCGGCUUCCUGGAAGAUACCUGACUCUGAAACACGAAAGCCAGGGGAGCGAAUGGGAUUAGAUACCCGGGUAGUCCCUGUCUCUUAUAC